CUCAAGGCGCGGUGUGGCUGUCCCUGGGGACGCGGGGACAGCGCUGCGGGCUCUCUGCUGCCCAGCACAGGUGUGAGCCGUGCCCGCCCCCAGGUGCUGCUGCUGUGCUACAAGAGCUGCUGGGACGGCGCCUUCCAGGCCACCGAGGAGGUAAAGCCUCGGUGGGACAGAGCGAGGGGCUCGCCAGCCCCGGGGACACCGCCGAGCCCGGUGACACAGCCGGCUGGGGGACAGGGAGGGGCUCCCCAGCCAGGCUGGGUGCCAGGGGCCAUCUGGGCUCAGCUGCCCCUGGACCUGCGAGUCCCCACUGUCCGUGUUGGCUUCCAGCUCGGCACAGCCCUGCAGCUUAGACUGGAGGGGAGGGAGGAGGAGGAGGUGGACUCAGACUCUGCAUGGGAGCCUGGACAGACAGCGGCGUGGCGAGGGCAGCGAGGCCGUGCUGGGGAGGCUGGAGGCUCUGGAGGCCGAUGUUCGCUUCCUCUGCACCGAGCUGGGGGCUGAGAAGCUUCUGUGGAGCAGCCGGUUCCUGGAGCUGCUGCGGGAGCAGCAGAGCCUGCGCCAAAGGCUGCAGGAGCUGCCAUGGCAGUGGAACAGUGGUGACAGCCCUGACCUGCUAGGGGAAGCAGAGGACCAAAGUGCCAGUGGGAGUGAGGGAGAGAGCCCAGAAGGAUGCCAGUGGAUGGAGGCACCUCGGCAGCCACGUGGCUCCAUCCAGCCUGACAGGCAGAAAAAGAGCAGGAACCAGCUGGAGGCAGGUCAGGACAAGCCCCUGGCCCUGGGUUUGCCCCAGGACACGUCACAGCCCUCCCUGCCCAGGGCUGCCCCUGGACUGACUGUGCCCCACAGGGCUGGCUCUGGUGAAGCCCACUGAGCCCUCCUGCUCUGCUGCUUGUUGGGAGGUUCCAGGAACAAGGAGUCUGGUCAGCACUGGGGUGACAGAUUGCAAAACUCACCCGCUGACUUCCUGCUUGGCCACAUCCAUCCUCUCCAUGAGCUGCUCCUGCACAUGUCGCAACCCUGGGCCAGCUCCUUGAGACAGUGGGCAAGGGCACCCAGCUCCCCAGGCACGGCUGAGCCCCCCUGGCUGCCCACAACACCUGGGCACGGAGCAGCAGCCCCACAGGAGCUGGGCUGAGGGGCUGCCCCGUGCCCAGGCCUGCCCAGCUCAGGGCUGCAUGCACUGCUCAAUACAGG
rnacentral:lncRNA from 1 species